AGUUGCGGGCCUGAGGAGGUACCUUCCUGAGGACCGGGGGUAGGGCGUGUUGGGACCCGGGGCCCCCAGCGCUCUAGACGGCUGCUAGCCAAAGGAGGACCUGGAGUGGCGGCGCAGAGAGCGCGUCCCGCCAGAGGACAGCCCCUCUGCUUGUCUCCCGAGGCCGGCGCGAGAGAACCGCCGAGCCCGCCCGGGCCUGCACCUGGCGAGGCUUCUUCAGGAGCGUCCUCAAAAUCAAGCGUUUCUGAAGCCCGGGACAGAUGCUUUCUGUGUUGUUCUAAAACACGCUUGUAAGGAGGAGAAUCCUCGGUUCAGAAGAGCUGAGGAGAGGCCACAGUUGAACUCAGACACCAGGAGAGAGAGGCUUUGAAUCUGCCUGAAAGCCAUCCUAUUUUUUGCUGACAAUGUGCAGGUACAUUGCUUUUGCUGUGGACCCCAGCCUUUUGCCAGCCAUGUGUAUAUCCCACCUAGGCUCCUCAUGCCUUGCUUCUAGUGGCUUUUGAGUCUGUGCUAACAUG
rnacentral:lncRNA from 1 species